rnacentral:rRNA from 1 species
UCGAGCGAAUCUUGAGGAGCUUGCUCCUUAAGGUUAGCGGCGGACGGGUGAGUAACACGUGGGCAACCUGCCUGUAAGACUGGGAUAACACCGGGAAACCGGUGCUAAUACCGGAUAAUUCUUCACCUCUCAUGAGGUGAAGCUGAAAGUCGGUUUCGGCUGACACUUACAGAUGGGCCCGCGGCGCAUUAGCUAGUUGGUGAGGUAACGGCUCACCAAGGCGACGAUGCGUAGCCGACCUGAGAGGGUGAUCGGCCACACUGGGACUG